GACGAACGCUGGCGGCGUGCUUAACACAUGCAAGUCGAACGGAAAGGCCCUGCUUUUGUGGGGUGCUCGAGUGGCGAACGGGUGAGUAACACGUGAGUAACCUGCCCUUGACUUUGGGAUAACUUCAGGAAACUGGGGCUAAUACCGGAUAGGAGCUCCUGCUGCAUGGUGGGGGUUGGAAAGUUUCGGCGGUUGGGGAUGGACUCGCGGCUUAUCAGCUUGUUGGUGGGGGAGUGGCUUACCAAGGCCUUGACGGGUAGCCGGCCUGAGAGGGUGACCGGCAACAUUGGAACUGAGAUCCCGACCAGCAUCCUACGGGAGGCAGCAGUGGGGAAUAUUGCACAAUGGGCGGAAGCAGGAUGCAGCAACGCCGCGUGCGGGAUGACGGCAUUCGGGUUGUAUGCAGCUUUCGCCUGUAACGAAGCGUGAGUGACGGUGAUGGGUAAAGAAGCACCGGCUAACUACGUG
rnacentral:rRNA from 1 species